rnacentral:lncRNA from 1 species
AUGGUGGUUUGAUCAACGGUGUGGACUUGGUAGGAUAGAAUGCGUGCGUACGCGCUUGCAGAGGAUCGGGAUGGGUACGUACUGGCUGCCUGGCUGGACUUCUGUGGCAGCAAGGCCGCGGCGAGCUACAUGUGUUGGUGAUGACGUGCAUGCCUUUGUUGGGACACGUGGCCGAAGGACGACAAGUGUAUAGAAUACUUUUCUUGGGGCUGAGGCGCCUCCGGGCUCCGUACCAGCUCGAUGGGGUCCAUCCUUUGUUAGUGGUUGUGGUCC